UUGGGAAAAAAGCUCUCAACUUCUUCCCUGUGAGCGUGGGGAGGCCCUGGCGCAGGUUGUCCAGAGAAGCCGUGGCUGCCCCAUCCCUGCAAGUGUCCAAGGCCAGGCUG